GCCUUCUUGGUGUAGUGGUCAGUACUCUCGACGCGUAUUCGAGAGGUCCGUGGUUCGAGUCCCGGCGAAGACG
rfam:Stegodyphus mimosarum contig4503, whole genome shotgun sequence.